AGAAUCCUAGUAAAAAAUGUACCGAGUCCCUAAAUUUUGAGUCAGUAAGCUCUUCCAUGAAAUCAUUGCUCAGUUUGUCAGUUAUAAUCACAGUGAUUCUUUUGUUGGAACUCACUUGCGACCACAGGAGAACUAUAACUUCAUAUUGACUGGAAAACAAAGAUGUCUUUUUGAGUUAUUUUUGGUUCCGUGCCAUGUGGAAUACAUGGAGAUCAAGACUCAAGUUCCUACUCCAAGCUUAGCUCAGUGAAAUUAGAGAGGACAGCAAAGACACAGCUGAAUGUAAUUCAUGGAUUGAUUGAUGAUAUUGGAGCAGCUUGAAAUGAGCAAAUCGGACCAGAAAGGAGCGUGCCGUGAUGAAGUGGAUCUGGGCUGAUUUCUACAAAGAUUCAGCACAGGCUGUUUUCAGGUCUGAAAGG
rnacentral:lncRNA from 1 species